rnacentral:rRNA from 1 species
UACAGAGGUCCCAAGCGUUGUUCGGAUUCACUGGGCGUAAAGGGUGCGUAGGUGGUGGGGUAAGUCGGAUGUGAAAGCUCGGAGCUUAACUCCGAAAUUGCAUUGGAAACUACCCUGCUAGAGGGUCGGAGGGGGGACUGGAAUACUUGGUGUAGCAGUGAAAUGCGUAGAUAUCAAGUGGAACACCAGUGGCGAAGGCGAGUCCCUGGACGACUCCUGACACUGAGCACGAAAGCUAGGGGAGCAAACAGG